AAGGAGUUGAUGCUCCCAAGAGCUCAUACGGGAAGGUGAAGAAUUGGGGGGAAGUGGAUGGAGGGAUUCCCCCCUCCCCAUGGAGCUGCGUGCAGGGGGUAUUGACUAUCUUUGAGCUUGUUUGUAUGCAUUACCAUGAAGCACAGCUUUGCAGAGACCACCUGUGGAGGAAUGAUGAACUCUGCAGAUAAUGCUUAAUCUCAAAUGCCGUUUUAACCCAAUUGAAGCAUGCACGGAAUUUUGAACAUCUUAUUUCUGCUAAGAGUAUUCUUUGUGCUGCUAUAUUAAAAGCAUUUGUAGCUUCAAACAAA